rnacentral:ncRNA from 1 species
UAUCGGCGUACUAGCAGCGGGGGACGUGUCCCCGAAUCGGUGCCGAGGGGAGCAAGCCUCAGCAACUAGCUACCUAGAAAAGGUGGAUUGCUGAAUAAUCACGCGUCGUGUGGAGUCUUGGUAGACUGUUAUCAAGUUCGAAGUAAGUCAGAUCCG